UGCAGUCGAACGGGAUCCAUCAGGCUUUGCUUGGUGGUGAGAGUGGCGAACGGGUGAGUAAUGCGUGACCGACCUGCCCCAUACACCGGAAUAGCUCCUGGAAACGGGUGGUAAUGCCGGAUGCUCCGACUCCUCGCAUGGGGUGUCGGGAAAGAUUUCAUCGGUAUGGGAUGGGGUCGCGUCCUAUCAGGUAGUCGGCGGGGUAACGGCCCACCGAGCCUACGACGGGUAGCCGGCCUGAGAGGGCGACCGGCCACAUUGGGACUGAGAUACGGCCCAGACUCCUACGGGAGGCAGCAGUGGGGAAUAUUGCACAAUGGGCGCAAGCCUGAUGCAGCGACGCCGCGUGCGGGAUGACGGCCUUCGGGUUGUAAACCGCUUUUGAUCGGGAGCAAGCCUUCGGGUGAGUGUACCUUUCGAAUAAGCACCGGCUAACUACGUGCCAGCAGCCGCGGUAAUACGUAGGGUGCAAGCGUUAUCCGGAAUUAUUGGGCGUAAAGGGCUCGUAGGCGGUUCGUCGCGUCCGGUGUGAAAGUCCAUCGCUUAACGGUGGAUCUGCGCCGGGUACGGGCGGGCUGGAGUGCGGUAGGGGAGACUGGAAUUCCCGGUGUAACGGUGGAAUGUGUAGAUAUCGGGAAGAACACCAAUGGCGAAGGCAGGUCUCUGGGCCGUUACUGACGCUGAGGAGCGAAAGCGUGGGGAGCGAACAGGAUUAGAUACCCUGGUAGUCCACGCCGUAAACGGUGGAUGCUGGAUGUGGGGCCCGUUCCACGGGUUCCGUGUCGGAGCUAACGCGUUAAGCAUCCCGCCUGGGGAGUACGGCCGCAAGGCUAAAACUCAAAGAAAUUGACGGGGGCCCGCACAAGCGGCGGAGCAUGCGGAUUAAUUCGAUGCAACGCGAAGAACCUUACCUGGGCUUGACAUGUUCCCGACAGCCGUAGAGAUAUGGCCUCCCUUCGGGGCGGGUUCACAGGUGGUGCAUGGUCGUCGUCAGCUCGUGUCGUGAGAUGUUGGGUUAAGUCCCGCAACGAGCGCAACCCUCGCCCUGUGUUGCCAGCACGUCAUGGUGGGAACUCACGGGGGACCGCCGGGGUCAACUCGGAGGAAGGUGGGGAUGACGUCAGAUCAUCAUGCCCCUUACGUCCAGGGCUUCACGCAUGCUACAAUGGCCGGUACAACGGGAUGCGACACGGCGACGUGGAGCGGAUCCCUGAAAACCGGUCUCAGUUCGGAUUGGAGUCUGCAACCCGACUCCAUGAAGGCGGAGUCGCUAGUAAUCGCGGAUCAGCAACGCCGCGGUGAAUGCGUUCCCGGGCCUUGUACACACCGCCCGUCAAGUCAUGAAAGUGGGUAGCACCCGAAGCCGGUGGCCUAACCCUUUGUGGAUGGA
rnacentral:rRNA from 1 species